UACGGGGGAUGCAAGCGUUGUCCGGAAUCAUUGGGCGUAAAGAGUUCGUAGGUGGUUUGUUAAGUUUGGUGUUAAAUCCAAAGUCUCAACUUUUGUAUGGCACUGGAUACUGGCAGACUAGAAUGCGGUAGAGGUAAAGGGAAUUCCUGGUGUAGCGGUGAAAUGCGUAGAUAUCAGGAGGAACAUCGGUGGCGUAAGCGCUUUACUGGGCCGUAAUUGACACUGAGGAACGAAAGCCGGGGUAG
rnacentral:rRNA from 1 species